rnacentral:rRNA from 1 species
UACGUAGGUGGCAAGCGUUAUCCGGAUUUAUUGGGCGUAAAGGGAACGCAGGCAGUCUUUUAAGUCUGAUGUGAAAGCCUUCGGCUUAACCGGAGUAGUGCAUUGGAAACUGGGAGACUUGAGUGCAGAAGAGGAGAGUGGAACUCCAUGUGUAGCGGUGAAAUGCGUAGAUAUAUGGAAGAACACCAGUGGCGAAAGCGGCUCUCUGGACGGCAACUGACGCUGAGGCUCGAAAGCGUGGGGAGCAAACAGG